GGGCAACAGAAUGAGACUCUGUCUCCAAAAACACCCCCCUCCAAAACAAAAAAUGACUAAGGGAGUCUAUCAGGGAUGUAGGGUGGAGGAUGUUGGUUGCAAUUUCAAAUGAGGUGGUCAGGGAAAAGCAGGUGACAGACGUUCAUUUAUUUAAUCCCUAAACCACCAACCACCUUUGAGGUGGAUAUUAUAUUUCCUUUUUUACAGGAAAGAGGCUUGGAGAGGUUAAAUAACUUGCCCCAAAUAACACACAAGGCUGCGGUGCAGGAAGCGAACUGAGUCUGGGUGGCUGCAAAAUUCUUUCGAUGACACCACAAAGCUACAUCUGAAAACUUAACAAGUUACAGGCGAUGUCCAUUUGCUAUUUUCUGAAAAUGCUUGAAAUCGUAAAGCAAUGGGCCAUUUACAUCGAGGACACUUCCAAGAUGAAAGGACAAAAAUAAAGAGAUGCGUGAACAAGAGAGCCGCGGCUGAACCAAGCAUGGAGCACUCCACCACCACCUCGCCGGCGAGCCAGGGCUAUGCAGUUAUGAACUUGGGAAAGACAAUGUGGGACCACUGAGACACUUCUUGCUCGAAGAUGUAGACUGGCUGGCAGGGCCAGCAGCCUGGGGAGGGGACGGCCGGAGAAGCCACUGAUGGAAGAGGAGCUCAAACAUUCAGCAAAGGGAAUGUGAGCCUGAUCAGAGAGAGAGAGAGAAUUCUGCUCUGCCUCCCAGUAAGGCAACAGGGGCGAGAGAGGCAGAGAAAGACGGAGCGUGGCGGGUUUGUUUCAGCCACCGACCACACUGUACCAGCUGCUGGCUCCUCCUCUGCAGGGCUGGAAAUCCUUUGGGGGAGCCGGGACAGAGGGGAGGAAGAAGCAGGAGAGAAUAAACAUGGAGAAUGAAUUUCUUGCUGUCCCUGGAGACAAUGUUUCCUUUAGGUGACAACAGAGGUUAAUAUCAUGAGCAGCGAGCCACUGAGCCCAGAGACACCUCGCUUGGAACAAGGUGUUGGAGAUUUAUUGAACUCUUCCCUGAAAGCGCCAAUGCAUCUCUCCAUUCAGAGACCUUGAUGCAACGUUCCCGAGACGUUCAAGAACUUCUAUCAUUCUCUACCUGCCUGUAUCCACGUGCAUACUGUCCCCCAAGACCAGCCCCUGCUCCUCAGAUCCCACUAAGGACACCGGCCUGCUAGGGUUUCAAGUUCACACACACAGUUUUCAGGCAUUUACUCUGCAGAGGGAAAAAACAAGGGCGGUAGUUUCUUCUUGAUCCCUCUCCCCCUCCCGCUGUGUCUGUCCCUAACAGGUGGUCAUGUCUCUUCUCAUUCUUCAGCACACUAGUUAAUUUCAAAAGCAGCAAGAGAGGCAAGGACAAUUUUUUUUUUUUUGAUUCUUAUUUUCAUCAAGAGGGUAAUGAAAAGAAUCAUCUCAGGAGACAAAAAAGCCUGAUGAAAACCAGAGAGCAAGAGAUCAGAGGAAGACAGGACUGUUUUUCAUCUGGAGUCAUUAGCAGCAUCUUAGAGAGGUUUGAAAUCUGUUCACAACUUCGUGGAUAUGGGCAGAAAACACAAACUAAGUGGUGAUGAGGGAGAGCUUUUUUGAAAGUCCAGUUUCUCACAAAAAACACAGGUUGGGGGAAGCCAAAGCCCUGACAACUUGAUCUCCAUAAAGGCUGACCCUAUUCUGAACGCUCAUAAAAGCCAGCACAUCAACACCCCCCAAGAACUGUCUAAGCCAACUUUCAGAAAUAAGUGAAACACACACACACACCCAUUUAAUUAAACCUUUCACAACCCUUAGAAAUCAGUAUAGUCUUUGAAAACAAGCAGCUUGAAAUCUCCAAACCACUUCCUAAGUGGCUGAAGCUGAACUUCCCAAGGCGGCCCCAGGCCUGCAACGCCCUGUAUUGACAGAGGCUUUGGGAAUGAAAGGCCAGGUCGAAAUGGGGCCCUGAGCACCAGCCCUUCCUGCCUGGGCCAUGGCUACAAGUGGAAAGGGAAUAUCAGCCCCUAAUGGAGCCUGGCUCAGCCCUCCCCUUGCUGCCUGGAGGCAAGUGCCUGGGGCUGGACCACCGAGGCAGCUCCUAAACCCAGCACGCAAUCCUUGGGAGGUGUUGCAAUUCUAACCCUUCACAGAUGAUUCAGGAAGAGGGAGGGCAGGCGGCUUGGAGAGAAAGUUAAAGGGUGGGCAGCACAUUUGGGGAUGUGGGCAUCAAACAGAUGGAAUUUUAAUGAAAAUACUUAAGCCUUUUAAUGCACAAGUGAUCCAAAGCUACCCCCGGUCUUCUUACCUUCUGGGAAUUAUAUGUUUAAAAGAUCACAGUAUUAAGAAUGUGGAAAUAAAACCCUGAUUUUAAAAAAAGUAUAUUUAUACCAACCUACUGAUUGCCGGGUGUAUUUACCCUAAAAUAAUGUGCUGUCUUUCAUCUAGUCUCCUGGCUACAUAUCUCCCUCCAUCCAUCUAACUAAAAUCUGAGGAAGGCAAACUGUCUCUAUGAUCAUUUCGCUAAAGCAGUCCUCAUUCACUUUGCUUUUCUUCUCUUUUGGAAUAGAAGUCUGUCAUAAAUGUUUAAUUAAAUGGAAGUCUUUCCACUGUUAAUGA